rnacentral:tRNA from 1 species
GCUUUCGUGGUGUAGUGGUCAGCACGCUCGACGCAUAACCGAGAGGUCCGUGGUUCGAUUCCCGACGAAGGCG